CCUUUGUAUAAAAUCCAUAUUCAAGUCUCGUAUUUUCCCACAUUUCUUAAGGUUUUCAUUUGUUUGUCGUCUUUCACGGGUGCGAAUAACAUGUACGACUGGCAUAUCUUUGUCCAAAUAAUCAAAGGUAGAAAAUUUAUAUCGAAAAAAAUCGAUUCAAAACCGAUUCAAAACCACGAGAACUAUAAUAUCUGCAAAAAUUUUUUUGCAAAAACCAGGGGGGUGAGAAAACGGCCGUGGGCUCAGAAUUGAGCCUGGUCAGUGGUACCUACCAUGAGAAUUUCGG